GUGCUCGCUUCGGCAGCACAUAUACUAAAACUGGAAUGAUACAGAGAAGAGUAGCAUGGCCCCUUCGCAAGGAUGACAUGCAAAUUCGUGAAGCAUUCCAUAAAAAAAUUUU